rnacentral:rRNA from 1 species
AACGAACGCUGGCGGCAGGCCUAACACAUGCAAGUCGAACGCUCCGCAAGGGGGAGUGGCGCACGGGUGAGUAACACGUGGGAACCUACCUUCUGGUACGGAACAACCAAGGGAAACUUUGGCUAAGACCGUAUACGACCUCCGGGUGAAAGAUUGAUCGCCGGAAGAGGGGCCCGCGUCCGAUUAGGGUAGUUGGUGAGGUAACGGCUCACCAAGCCUUCGAUCGGUAGCUGGUCUGAGAGGAUGACCAGCCACACUGGGACUGAGACACGGCCCAGACUCCUACGGGAGGCAGCAGUGGGGAAUAUUGGACAAUGGGCGCGAAGCCUGAUCCAGCCAUGCCGCGUGAGUGAAUGAA